rnacentral:rRNA from 1 species
UACGGGGGGGGCAAGCGUUGUUCGGAAUUACUGGGCGUAAAGGGCUCGUAGGCGGCCAACUAAGUCAGACGUGAAAUCCCUCGGCUUAACCUGGGAACUGCAUCCGAUACUGGAUGGCUUGAAUCCGGGAGAGGGAUGCAGAAUUCCAGGUGUAGCGGUGAAAUGCGUAGAUAUCUGGAGGAAUACCGGUGGCGAAGGCGGCAUCCUGGACCGGCAUUGACGCUGAGGAGCGAAAGCUAGGGGAGCAAACGGG